GAACACAAAAUGGCGACACGUGGUUAGCAUUCGUCGCCAACGAGAAAUUGGGGUCGGCCCGAAAGCUCUAGAAUGCACCCCUCUUCCUCCCCGGGGCCUUCCACCUCCGCGAGUUUUAUGACUUAAAAAAGCCCACAGGCUGGUCUGAAGACUUCCUAGCAUGGGCUGUUGUGCUGGAGAGAACGAGAGCUACGAAGAGACUACAGUGCCUCUGACUUUUUCAUAGGACAGUUGGCCGAGGAAGACAAACAUAAAGAUGAAGUGCUUAAUUCAAGGUCACACAAUGUCGGGGAUGGACCUCCAGAUUUCCUUACUGGAAAACAAGCUCAGGGCUCCCACUGAUUGUACAUUAUGGUGAGACGUGGUCUUGUAACACAGUGGUUAAGAAUGUGACUUUGGAGCCAGCCUGCUAGGGGCUGAAUUCUGACUCAGCCAUUUACUAACUGUGUGACCUUAGGGAGGAGGACCUGGUUGAUAGAAGAAUUUAUCUCGUAGUCUUAACAUCCACUGUAAUUCCAAACUUUGAGGACGAUAGAGAUCAGUGGGCUUUGACUGCCCAGCAUGCAGUCUCCAUUCUUAGGUGGGUUCCCAAGCCUGUAAAAUGUAAGCCUUAUGCUGCUGAGGGCCAUCUUGCCACCCUGAGGGAAACGCUGCCUGAGAAUGAAACAAGCAUAAGUAAAAGCUGAGCUGUGAGAUGGAGCAAGAUGAAGGCCACAUGACAUCUUUGGAGCACCUGGAUCUAACUGUGCCUUAAGCUAGUCUAACCCUGAACAUUUCAUCAUUUCAUUGACAUGAGCCCAGGUUUUCUUUUUUUUUGGAUGGAGUCUUGCUCUGUCGCCCAGGCUGGAGUGCAGUAGCUCAAUCUCGGCUCACUGCAAGCUCCACCUCCCGGGUUCACGCCAUUCUCCUGCCUUAGCCUCCCAAGUAGCUGGGACAACAGGCGCCCACCACCACUCCCAGCUAAUUUUUUGUAUUUUUAGUAGAGACGGGGUUUUACCAUGUUAGCCGGGAUGGUCUUGAUCUCCUGACCUCAUGAUCCGCCCGCCUCGGCCUCCCAAAGUGCUGGGAUUACAGGUGUGAGCCACUGCACCCAGCCCUCAGGUUUUCCCUUUUUUUACCCCUCCUUUUGAAAAUUUGAUGUGGAAUUUUGCCACCUGCAGCCAGAAGAGUUUUAACUAAUCAGUGCCAUAAAUUUUAUAUAGUUCUCCUUGCAAAAUGUGGAUCAGCCUUUCUCAGCAAAUCCUUUGUCAUAAAGUGCUGAAUUGUAAGUUUGUCAUGAGAAUCACAUGAGAUCAUGCAUGUGAAGAACCUGGCAUUAUCCUCCUCAUAGAAAAAAACCAGUAAAUAUUAACUACAGGAAGCAAGGAAGGAGUGGGGUGAGGGGAAGAAGAAGGGGUACUGAUUUAAAAGAACCCUGGAGUCCUAAGGAUAAUCUAGGAACCCUCAGACCCAAUCCGAUACCCCUAUUCUAAAUGCUCCUAGUGCCCUGUACCUUCCCCUCAUAAGCCUUCAUUAUCAUUGUAAUGAUAUGUUUAUGUAAUAUUUUGAUUAAUGUCUCUCCUUCACUGACCUAGCAGUUCUAGCAGGGCAGUGAUUUUGCUGUGUUGCAUCCCCAGCACCUAGUCUGGUAUGUGGCAUUCAGCAUAUGUUUAUUGAAUGAAUGGCCAUGUGGUUAUUCAGAUCCUCCUUGAUUAUUGGGGUUAGGAUUGUGGCAGAAGUGGCAAAAUCAGGGAGAGUAGUCCCUGUCCCCUCUGUAUCUUAUACACUGCCCACACUCCCAACACACAUACACAUACAGAGAAUUUUGUCUCAAUUAGAUAAUUAACUUCUGCUUGGUUGUAAACCAAACCACUGGUUCUUAAACUUUCAUUGGAUCAUUUUAUUGAAGAAUUAAAUAGUGUGGUUCUGGCCUAAUGUCUGGAAAGCCUUGCAGAGGAGUGGAUUAGGUCUUUGUGAUAAACAGGCAGCCUUCCCUGCUCCUGUGUCUUUAUAAAAUCUAUUUAACUGGAGUAGUCCACCCUCCCUCAGGCUCUUACAGGAAUAUGUUGGAGGCUGUAGGAAGGUGGGAAACCGAGAGGGAAAGGACUGGGCCGCUGGAGACUUCACUCAUUCCCUAGCAAGAAACAAAAGCAGUAAAAGGUGGCCCGAGGACAACCUGAAGCUCACUCCUUCAGCACUUUUGGCUGGAGGUCACUUGUUGGAGCCCCACUCAGAGCUCAGCACACCACCCCACCAGCAGCCUCCUCCUCCCAGCUGAGGCUGCAUUUCAUCCCUUCCCCCAGCCUGCUUUCCCUGAGAUAGGGGAGUGUUUCCCAGGGCCCAUGUGACUUCCACUGGCAAGUGACGAUUACCAAUGGUUUACUAGUCAGUGAAACUACCAAAGGCUUUUGUGCUGUAGUAAUCCUUUUCCUGUUUAAAACUCUGGGGAUUUUCUAAUGUUGCCAAUAGUUUUUCAAGUCAGCAAUUACUGUGUGGAUUAUGUAAUGGCUCGGUAUUA
ensembl:lncRNA PCBP1-AS1 PCBP1 antisense RNA 1